rnacentral:rRNA from 2 species
AAGCGGUGGAGCAUGUGGUUUAAUUCGAAGCAACGCGAAGAACCUUACCAGGUCUUGACAUCCUCUGACCUCCCUGGAGACAGGGCCUUCCCCUUCGGGGGACAGAGUGACAGGUGGUGCAUGGUUGUCGUCAGCUCGUGUCGUGAGAUGUUGGGUUAAGUCCCGCAACGAGCGCAACCCUUGACCUUAGUUGCCAGCAUUCAGUUGGGCACUCUAAGGUGACUGCCGGUGACAAACCGGAGGAAGGUGGGGAUGACGUCAAAUCAUCAUGCCCCUUAUGACCUGGGCUACACACGUGCUACAAUGGAUGGUACAAAGGGCUGCGAGACCGCGAGGUU